UACGUAGGGUGCAAGCGUUAAUCGGAAUUACUGGGCGUAAAGCGUGCGCAGGCGGUGAUGUAAGACAGUUGUGAAAUCCCCGGGCUCAACCUGGGAACUGGCAUCUGUGACUGCAUCGCUGGAGUGCGGCAGAGGGGGGAUGGGAAUUCCGCGUGUAGCAGUGAAAUGCGUAGAUAUGCGGAGGAACACCGAUGGCGAAGG
rnacentral:rRNA from 1 species